rnacentral:siRNA from 1 species
UAAAAAUAUGUUAAAGAUGGUCUC